UUUGUGUUUUGACAAAUAAGGCUUUCUUGGAGAUCAGAGGGGGUACCUAGCUACUAACUAACCAUAGAGGCCAGACAGUGGUGGCACACACCUCUAAUCCCAGCACUUGGGAGGAGUAAGCAGGAAGAUCAGGAAGAUAGGAAGAGGGUC